rnacentral:lncRNA from 1 species
CCUGCUUACAGAGAACUACCCAAAGCAGAAGGAUGUAUUGCACAGAGGAGCAACAAACUUGUUUUUACAGCCCAGCACUCUCCUUUCAGGCCCAUACCUCUGAUGCUCUUAGCUCCCCAUCAGUGAAUCACAAAAAUGAAAGGGAGAUCUUCCAGUGAUAUCAGCAAUGGAAAGACAUGGAAAAGGCAAUUUGCUCUUGAAAAGGUCUGGUGUUGUCCUAUGGGAUGUCAGAAGACUCAAGAAUCCAUGUUUGCAGUCUAUUUUCUUUUUCUUCAAUCACAAAUAUUUGUGUUACCUCAAUG